CUUCUCCUACAAUUCAACAACAUAUUAACAACAACAAACCCACUAAUUCAGUUUAAAAAUAGCACAAAGGACCUAAGUAGAUAUCUCCCUAAAGAAUGCAUGCAAGUCUAUGAAAGGAUGCUUGAUGCCACUCAUCAUUAGAAAAACAGCAGAAUCCCAGUGAUCUAUGACUUCUUCCCCCAUUUAAGAUGGUGUCUGCCAAAGACCACAAUUCAAACUAUAAAAAAGACAGCUGUUGGGGACACAACACGAAGGUCCUUGUGCCCAGAGACCUCCAGGAAAACCAGCAAUAUUAAGCAUAUAGGAUUGUCCUCUCAAAGGGAUGGUUGCAAUACCCGCUCUUCCAUCCAGAAAGCUGGGAGUGUAUGUGUUUGUGCAAUUACCUACAUGCAUGUAUGCGCACUGUGCUGUGCCUGGAGCUAAAGGAGGUCAGAAGAGGGCACUGGACCCCACAAACCUGCACUUACAGAUGGUUAUGGACUGCCAUCUGGGUGCUGGGAACUGGACCCGGGUCCUCUUAGAGAGCAACAAGUAUUCUUAACUGCUGUGCCAUCUCUCUAGUCAAGUGGAGCACACCCACUGCCCCACCUGCCCAAUGGGUACAGAGACUCAGUUUAGCAAGCAGAAAAACUUGCUAUUGUUGAGUUCUGAAACAGGGUCUCACUGUUUGCCCACGCUGGACUCAAACUGAUAGGCAAAAGAGAAGUUCCUACGUCCGGGUCCUGAACAGCUAAAACUUUCAGUGUUGCACUGUUCGCUGUGCUUGGCUUCGGGGCUACCACACAACAGCUUAAAGCAGAGUCCAUAUUACUACUCUGGACACUGACUAAGAAGGCGUAUGACUCACUGGGUAAAAAUUUCUGAGAAAACAGAUAUGACAUCGGUAAAAAAAAAAAAAAAAGAACCAUUAUAAUACCAAACCAUAAGCUGUGGUCUGCCUCAUGAAAGUGUUGUGUUCUCCAGGACUGAAGGCUGCUGGCUGGAGACAAAACCGACUUCAGACAAGGGUGUCAGAACCACCCGAGGACAUCUGAGAUGGUCUCCUGGUAGUCCCUGGAGAAGAACUACAUGGCAUUUGCCAACCUCCCAAUACUCGUGGCUUGGGGUCCUGGCCCAGCAGUUGCAGGCUGGAGGAGCAGGAGGCUUCCAGGUUGCAGAGGUUCCAUUAUCCGUUAUCCUCCUAGCUCCAAGGGCUUCUCAGAAGCAGACCUAGAAGAUCAAAGGCAGCAGCAGAGCUGGCCUGACUGCAUAGCCUAUCCAACCGCGAGAGAGACGUCCUGGUCUCAGGGAGGCUCCAGCUACGGUCUGGAGCUUCUAAACGUGCCUUACUGCCGAAACCUGCAACUCUGAGACGCAGCAAACUUGUCUUUGGCUCCCAUCCAAGAGUUCCACAGGCAUUAUUUGCAAGACUGUUGCAAGCUAUAGAAACAGCACCCUCUUGUGACCUGAGCAUGCCACACAGUCUCCAGAGAAAGACACUUCAGUCUUAGAACUGUGGCGAUCUCUGUCCCCACAACCCACAACCCACUCUCAUUUUCUUCCCUC